rnacentral:rRNA from 1 species
UGGGGAAUAUUGGACAAUGGGGGGAACCCUGAUCCAGCCAUGCCGCGUGUGUGAAGAAGGCUUUAUGGUUGUAAAGCACUUUAAGCGAGGAGGAGGGUACUGGUAUUAAUACUACCAGCUACUGGACGUUACUCGCAGAAUAAGCACCGGCUAACUCUGUGCCAGCAGCCGCGGUAAUACAGAGGGUGCGAGCGUUAAUCGGAUUUACUGGGCGUAAAGCGUGCGUAGGCGGCUAAUUGAGUCGGAUGUGAAAUCCCCGAGCUUAACUUGGGAAUUGCAUUCGAUACUGGUUAGCUAGAGUGUGGGAGAGGAUGGUAGAAUUCCAGGUGUAGCGGUGAAAUGCGUAGAGAUCUGGAGGAAUACCGAUGGCGAAGGCAGCCAUCUGGCCUAACACUGACGCUGAGGUACGAAAGCAUGGGGAGCAAACAGG